rnacentral:lncRNA from 1 species
UCACAAUCACCAAUUUUAUCCUCAUUUCUCCUAUAAAAACCCCAACUCUAUGCUUCACUUUUAAUCAUAACUACAACAAAAACUUGCUUUUACUCACUAAAUUUCUUUUAUAUCUCAAACAACAAAUUAAGUAAAAAAAAACAUGUCUUGCUGUGGAGGAAGUUGUGGUUGUGGAUCUGGCUGCAAGUGCGGCAGUGGCUGUGGAGGGUAAGUGUUAGAUUAGAGAUUAUUAUUUCACUCCAAUAAUCGACUUUUAUCGAACUUCAAAUUCUCUAUUUCAAGUUGACGUUGAAAUAAUGGACACAAUUGAAAAGCAAACAUAUAUAAUUUUGCAAAUAAAUGAAUAAUAUACAAUAUCUAUCCAAACUUGUUAACAUAUAAAAUGAUCCCUCAACUAAUUAAUGGAGUAGUUAUUAUCUGAGAAAUUGAGUCUAUCGUUCAUCAAUUUGUUACAAUGUUUAUUGUAGAUGUGGUAUGUACCCGGACAUGGAGAAGUCCACCACCUUUACCAUCAUUGAAGGUGUUGCACCUAUCACCAAGUACGUACGACUAUUUUUUGUUGUUGUUUAAAUUGGUAAAUUAAUUAAAGACUAUAUAUAUUUAGAAAUUGGAAGACUAAAUUAAAAAGAUUACUUAAUUGUAAUAUAAAUAAUAUAAUUUUGUAGCUAUGGAAAUGUUGAGGAGAAAGCAGCAGGAGAAGGAUGCAAAUGUGGAUCAAACUGCACUUGUGACCCUUGCAAUUGCUAAGUUGAUGUAUUCAUGUGUGUCUCUACUAAAACUAUGCUUUAAGAGCUUUUAUUUUCUGUAAUAAUAAUGAUAAGACUACGUGUCUUUCUCUAAUUGGUAUAUUUCUGGAGUGUGAUUUGAGGUUGUAACAAAAAUGCAUCAACACAUCAUCUAUAUAUACCAUUUAAGUUUGUUUAAUUUGUAGUUGUUUCUGAAAUAUCUCAUAUUUGUUUCAAUUGCAAUCUUAAUGUGUAAUGAAUUUUGAGAUAUAUAUAUAGUCUAUGUACGAUAAAAGAAAAUUAAAAAAUAUUGAGGGUAGGACGAUAGGUGAUCAAAGGUAAACAAGAGAGGGAGUUACAAAAAAUUCUGGUAGUCAACUGACUAAAAAUUCUCCAAUCCCGUAAGUUUUUACUCGUCACAUUGGAUAUCUUUUGCAUUUUAUUUAUUUUGCAC